GGACUACACGGGUAUCUAAUCCUGUUUGCUCCCCAUGCUCUCGCGCCUCAGCGUCAGGUAAUAGCUAGAAAACCGCUUUCGCCACCGGUGUUCUUCCACAUAUCUACGCAUUUCACCGCUACACGUGGAAUUCCGUUUUCUCCGCCAUCCCUCUAUAGACCUUCAGUUUCAAAUGCAGCUCCGGAGUUGAGCUCCGGAAUUUCACAUUUGACUUGAUGGCCCGCCUACGCGCCCUUUACGCCCAGUAAAUCCGAUUAAUGCUUGCACCCUCCGUAUUACCGCGGCUGCUGGCAC
rnacentral:rRNA from 1 species